UACGAAGGGGGCUAGCGUUGUUCGGAAUCACUGGGCGUAAAGGGCGCGUAGGCGGCUUUAUAAGUCGGGGGUGAAAGCCCGUGGCUCAACCACAGAAUUGCCUUCGAUACUGUAGAGCUUGAGACCGGAAGAGGUAAGUGGAACUGCGAGUGUAGAGGUGAAAUUCGUAGAUAUUCGCAAGAACGACCAGUGGCGGAACGGCGG
rnacentral:rRNA from 1 species